rnacentral:rRNA from 1 species
AACGAACGCUGGCGGCAUGCCUAACACAUGCAAGUCGAACGAACCCUUCGGGGUUAGUGGCGCACGGGUGCGUAACGCGUGGGAAUCUGCCCUUUGCUUCGGAAUAACAGUUAGAAAUGACUGCUAAUACCGGAUGAUGUCGCAAGACCAAAGAUUUAUCGGCAAAGGAUGAGCCCGCGUAGGAUUAGCUAGUUGGUGGGGUAAAGGCUCACCGAGGCGACGAUCCUUAGCUGGUCUGAGAGGAUGAUCAGCCACACUGGGACUGAGACACGGCCCAGACUCCUACGGGAGGCAGCAGUGGGGAAUAUUGGACAAUGGGCGAAAGCCUGAUCCAGCAAUGCCGCGUGAGUGAUGAAGGCCCUAGGGUUGUAAAGCUCUUUUACCAGGGAUGAUAAUGACAGUACCUGGAGAAUAAGCUCCGGCUAACUCCGUGCCAGCCGCCGCCGUAACAC